rnacentral:rRNA from 1 species
AACGAACGCUGGCGGCAUGCCUAACACAUGCAAGUCGAACGAGACCUUCGGGUCUAGUGGCGCACGGGUGCGUAACGCGUGGGAACCUGCCCUUAGGUUCGGAAUAACUCCCCGAAAGGGGUGCUAAUACCGGAUAAUGUCUUCGGACCAAAGAUUUAUCGCCUUUGGAUGGGCCCGCGUUGGAUUAGCUAGUUGGUAGGGUAAAAGCCUACCAAGGCGACGAUCCAUAGCUGGUCUGAGAGGAUGAUCAGCCACACUGGGACUGAGACACGGCCCAGACUCCCACGGGAGGCAGCAGUGGGGAAUAUUGGACAAUGGGCGAAAGCCUGAUCCGGCAAUGCCGCGUGAGUGAUGAAGGCCUUAGGGUUGUAAAGCUCUUUUACCCGGGAUGAUAAUGACAGUACCGGGAGAAUAAGCUCCGGCUAACUCCGUG